GAUCCUGGCUCAGAUUGAACGCUGGCGGCAUGCUUUACACAUGCAAGUCGAACGGUAACAGGGAGCUUGCUCCGCUGACGAGUGGCGAACGGGUGAGUAAUAUAUCGGAACGUACCCAAGAGUGGGGGAUAACGUAGCGAAAGUUACGCUAAUACCGCAUACGAUCUAUGGAUGAAAGCAGGGGACCUUCGGGCCUUGUGCUCCUGGAGCGGCCGAUAUCUGAUUAGCUAGUUGGUGAGG
rnacentral:rRNA from 1 species